rnacentral:misc_RNA from 1 species
AACUUUUGGCAACGGAUCUCUUGGUUCUGGCAUCGAUGAAGAACGCAGCGAAAUGCGAUAAGUAAUGUGAAUUGCAGACUUCAGUGAAUCAUCGAAUCUUUGAACGCACAUUGCGCCCUCCGGUACUCCGGGGGGCAUACCUGUUCGAGCGCCGUUGUACUACUAAGGCUCAGCCUUGCGGUGGCCGGCGCCCCCUCCCGGUUGGGAGGGGGUGUGGCCGAAACCCAUGGGCGCGUCCUCGCAGGUCGUCCAGCGUAGCAAGUCUCUCGCUGAACGUGCCGGGGAGGAGGCGCCAAUUGAAAUACACGAACGCUUGGCCUCGAAUCAGGUAGGGAUACCCGCUGAACUUAAGCAUAUCAAUAAGCGGAGGCU